rnacentral:tRNA from 1 species
GCCUGGCUGGCUCAGUCAGUAGAGUGUGGGACUCUUGAUCUCGGCGCUGUGAGUUGGAGCCCCACGUUGGGUG